rnacentral:Y_RNA from 1 species
GGCUGGUCCGAUGGCAGUUGGUUAUCAGAACUUAUAACAUUAGUGUCACUAAAGUUGUAUACCACCCCCCACUGCAAAUUUGACUGGCUUAAA